AGCAUAUCAAAUCGUAAAAUAUAAAGUUGUUUUUCUUAAACCAUCAAACAGAUAGUUUGAGAAUCAGUUUCAGUAUGAAGGUAUUUGUCACAACUUGUGUUCUUUCCAUGUUUUUUUUGUAUGCCAUGGGUUUUGGGAAGUGUACGCUUCCCAUUUUUAGUAUCGGAGCAUGUCAGAUUCCAUUUACAGUUAUUGAGUAUAUUCCUGAUUUAAAUAUUUGUAAAAGGCAACUGAUGAGAGGUUGUAAGCUGGAUAAUUAUGGAUUUGCCACAAUUCCACAAUGUGAGAGUACUUGCAAAAAAUAUAAAACUCACGGCUAGAGGAUCAUAUCAGUUUCAUUAUCGAACCCAGAGUUGGGAAAAGUACCAAUGUCUAUCGUUAAUUGAUAUGAACAAUUCGUUUAUUAAAUACACCUUACUUUAAAGGA